rnacentral:rRNA from 1 species
AUUGAACGCUGGCGGCAGGCCUAACACAUGCAAGUCGAGCGGAUGAAGGGAGCUUGCUCCUGGAUUCAGCGGCGGACGGGUGAGUAAUGCCUAGGAAUCUGCCUGGUAGUGGGGGAUAACGACCGGAAACGGGCGCUAAUACCGCAUACGUCCUGAGGGAGAAAGUGGGGGAUCUUCGGACCUCACGCUAUCAGAUGAGCCUAGGUCGGAUUAGCUAGUUGGUGGGGUAAAGGCCUACCAAGGCGACGAUCCGUAACUGGUCUGAGAGGAUGAUCAGUCACACUGGAACUGAGACACGGUCCAGACUCCUACGGGAGGCAGCAGUGGGGAAUAUUGGACAAUGGGCGAAAGCCUGCUCCAGCCAUGCCGCGUGUGUGAAGAAGGUCUUCGGAUUGUAAAGCACUUUAAGUUGGGAGGAAGGGCAGUAAGUUAAUACCUUGCUGUUUUGACGUUACCAACAGAAUAAGCACCGGCUAACUUCGUG